UGGGGAAUAUUGCACAAUGGGGGAAACCCUGAUGCAGCAACGCCGCGUGAAGGAAGACGGUUUUCGGAUUGUAAACUUCUGUUCUUAGUGAAGAAUAAUGACGGUAGCUAAGGAGCAAGCCACGGCUAACUACGUGCCAGCAGCCGCGGUAAUACGUAGGUGGCAAGCGUUGUCCGGAAUUACUGGGUGUAAAGGGAGCGCAGGCGGGAGACCAAGUCAGCUGUGAAAACUACGGGCUUAACCUGUAGACUGCAGUUGAAACUGGUUUUCUUGAGUGAGGUAGAGGUUGGCGGAAUUCCGAGUGUAGCGGUGAAACGCGUAGAUAUUCGGAGGAACACCGGUGGCGAAGGCGGCCAACUGGGCUUUAACUGACGCUGAGGCUCGAAAGUGUGGGGAGCAAACAGGAUUAGAUACC
rnacentral:rRNA from 1 species